GUGACAUGCUGGGACAAUUUUUUCUGAAAUUGGCCUUCCAUUGUUGGAGUCUGCUUCCUUUGAUCCAGGUGAUCAUGAUUUUGAGGUCAUCACCUCUGGGAACUUUCUGUCUAAGUUUGAAAAUUCAAAGGCAUUGCUAAUUCAGGUAUUUUCAUUUGGGAGUAACCGCGCUGCCCAAUUUUCUAAUAACUGGAAGAAAGUUGGUAUGCAUUUCUGAUAUUAAUUGUUGCGUAUAUUUAUUGUUGAUGAUGUUGUUUACUUGUGUUAUAUCUGUCUGCUUGCCCUCUUUUAUUACUAUAUUUUUUCUUUUGAUAUGUUCU